AGGCAGUCUGGGGCAGGAGGCCCACAGGCCCCUGCACUGGCCUGACAGAAGGCUCGGGCCCGGGGCAGAGGGGUGGGCUGCACCCUGCACUGAUGCUCAGACCAAGCUGAGAGGUGGAGAAGUCAGGGGAUAUGCAAGGUCCAGGAAAAAGGCAAUUACAUCCCCAAGAAAUGUGGCCAGUCAGGGAGCGUGAGAGCUUGUGCUGCUCUUGGGGGCCACAGAGACCCACCUGGCUGGUUCUGGAUGAGACAAAGGCUGCAGACUGACACACCUAUGCAACUCUCCUCCUGCCCAGGCCUUGGAAGUCACCGGCAACCCCUGCCCCUCCAAACUCAGACACGUCCUCAGGAUCUCUCUCAACACAGUACUGCAGGCAACCACAACUGGGCAGCCCAAGUGGGUGAGCAAGAUCAAUGCGGAAUUGCAAGGGGCCUCAAGUAGCAAAAACAACCUUCAAAAAGAAGAACAAAGUCAGAGGAGUUACACUUUCUGAUUUCAAAUUUACUACAAAGCUACAGCUGUUAAAACAGUGUAAAACUGGCAUAGGGAUAGACAUAUAAAUCAAUAGAAUAAAAUUCAGAGUCGUUUAAGGCCAGUUAAUUUUUGUCAUGGAUGCCAAGCUCAUUCAAUGGGGAAAGAACAGUCUUUUCUACAAAUGUUACUGGGACAACUUGAUUUCUGCAUGCAAAAGAUGAGGUUGGACCCCUACCUCACACUAUAGGCAAAAAUUAACUCAAAAUGGAUCAAUACCCUAAAUAUAAGAGCAAAAGCUGCAAAACUCUUAGAAGAAAGCAUAGUGGUAGAUCUUCAUGACCUUGGAUAUGGCAAUGGAUUCUUAGAUAUGAUAUCAAAAUCUCAAGUAAGAAUAACAAUAACAACAAAAAACAGAUAAAUUAGACUUCAUCAAAUUUAAAACUUUUGUGCACCAAACAACAUUAUCAAGAAAGUGAAAAGACAACCACAGAAUGGGAGAAAACACCUGCAAAUCAUAUAUCUAAUAAUAGUUUAAUAUCCAGAAUAUAUAAAGAACUUCUAAAACUCGAAAACAAAAGAACAAAACAACCAAAUUUAAAAAUGGGCAGGCUGGGCAUGUAGCUCAUGCUUGUAAUCCCAGCACAUUAGGAGGCCAAGGCAGGCGGGUCCAUUUGAGCUCAGGAGUUUGAGACCAGCCUGGGCAACAUAGUGAUACUCCAUCUCUACAAAAAAUACAAAAAUUAGCCAGGCAUGGUGGCUUAUGCCUGUAAUCCCAGCUACUCUGGAGGCUAAGGCUGGAGGAUGACUUGAGGCUGGGAAUCAGAGGUUGCAGUGAGAUCAUGCCACUGCCCUCCAGACUAGGAGACAGAAUGAGACCCUGUCUCAAAAAAUAAAUAAAAAUAAAAAUAAAAUAAAAUAAAAAUGGGCAAAGGAUUUGAAUAGAUGUUUCUCUGAAGAAGAUGCACAAAUGCCAAUAAGCACAUGAAAAGAUGCUCAACAUCACUAAUCUUUAGAGAAAUGUAAAUUAAAGCCACCAUCACUUCACCUAUUGGCAUGGCUAUAAUCAGAAAAGCUAAAAGUAACAACUGCUGGUGAGGAUGUGGAGAAACUGGAACUCUUGUGCAUUGAUGAUGGAAAUGGAAAGUGGUAUAACUGUUGUGUAAAAUAGUGUGGUCAUUCCUCAAAAAGCUAAAUGUAUAGUUACCAUGGAAUUGUGACCCAAUAAUUCCAUUCCUAGGUAUAUACUCAACAGAAUUGAAAACAAGAAAUCAAAAAAUGCUUGUGUCCCAAAGUUUAUAGCAGCAUCAUCCACAAAAGCCAAAAGAUGGAAACCAGGCAAAAGUCAACCGACAGAUGAAUGGAUAAAUACAGCGUGCUCCACCACACGGAAUAUGAUUCAUCCGCACAAAGGAACAAAGUUCUGACACACAUGACAACAGAGAUGAACCUUGAAAACAUUAUGCUGAGUAGAAUAAGCCAGACACAAAAGGACAAAUAUUGUAGGAUUCCAGAUCUAAACUAGGCAAAUUUAUAGAGACAAAGCAGAUUAGAGGUUACCAAGGGCUAGGGGUGGGGGAUGGGAGGUUAUUGCUUAAUGGGUUCAGAUUAUCUGUUUGGGAUGGUGAAAAAGUUUGCAGUGCACAAGAGUUCCAGUUUUGGAAGUAGAUAUCAGUGAUGGUUGCACAACAUCGUGAAUGUAAUUAAUGUGAAUUAUACACUUAAAAUGGUUAAAAUGGCAUUUUUGUGAUGUAUAUCUUUUGCUACAAAAAGAACCAUUUUUUAAAGAAGCAAUGGUGAGCAAAGUUGGUAAAUCUGUAGGUAGAUCCAAUAAAGCCUUGACAAUUCAAAGAAAAGUAAUAAUUAAUUUAUGGCCAUACAAACAGGGUGAGGCUAGUACUCCAAACAGCAAAGCCUAGCAUGCCCAGUACCGGGCAAAGAGCAGGGGGAGACACGGGCUGUGUCUACACAAGGAGCAUGCCUUUCUAGCACAGGUAUUAAAACUUUAGGACAAUUUAUUAAAGAAAUAGAAAAUAUGAUCUCUGUGUUAGUUUCCUGUGAUUGCUAUAAGAAGUUACCACAAGUCUGGUAGUUUAUAACAACAA
rnacentral:lncRNA from 1 species